CCUACGGGUGACAGUAGUGAGGAAUAUUGGUCAAUGGCCUAGAGGCUGAACCAGCCAAGUCGCGUGAGGGAAGACGGCCCUACGGGUUGUAAACCUCUUUUGUCUGGGAGCAAAGCGAACCACGUGUGGUUCGUUUAGAGUACCCGGAGAAAAAGCAUCGGCUAACUCCGUGCCCGCCGCCGCGGUAAUACGGAGGAUGCGAGCGUUAUCCGGAUUUAUUGGGUUUAAAGGGUGCGCAGGCGGAGGUGCAAGUCAGCGGUCAAAUUGCGGGGCUCAACCCCGUACUGCCGUUGAAACUGGAUCUCUUGAGUGCGCGAGAAGUAUGCGGAAUGCGUGGUGUAGCGGUGAAAUGCAUAGAUAUCACGCAGAACUCCGAUUGCGAAGGCAGCAUACCGGCGCCCAACUGACGCUGAUGCACGAAAGCGUGGGUAUCGAACAGGAUUAGAUACCCUUGUAGUC
rnacentral:rRNA from 1 species